AUAGCCCAAAACAUAACAUCUUAUUCCAUAUUUGUGGAGCUGUACAUCAAUAUCUGAAAACUUAACAUCUUAUUAUAUUAAAUUACAAAGUUAUUGGGUUAAUUAUUCGAACACUAGAUGUUCUCAACAUUCCAUCGUUACAUGAUAAGAUGUACAAGAAUCAAAGGAGAACGUUUCGCAGUCUCUCUUUUGGAAAUUGUUCAUCAUUUCAAGAAGCAAUGGCGUUAGCUAGUGGAAAGGUUUUCCAUUUCCAUCCGCUUUCUUUUCAACCUAUUUGCAGAUAUCUCUGCCUUCUCAUCCACAAAAGACAAGAACUUCCUAAGCCGUAUUGAAUGUGAUAUUCUAGUUCUAGUAGAAGUAGAACGCUGUGUUAAUUCAGGAAAAUGUCGUUUGAACUGCCGCAACAUGAAGCAGAAAUAUACAAGCAGAGCAAAACAGCAAGUAACUCCUCAAAUGAGGAACAGACCCCAAAAGCUCUUCAACUGAAGCUGUUCUGAAUCUGCUUCAGAGCUCUGCCCUCCACAAACUUUUCUGUUUAACCGCUUCUUGUGAAUCUUCUCUAGCUCUCCAUUUUCAGAUAAUUGCAAGAUUGCAGUUGACAUGUCAAUAGCUAAGGGAGAAAUGGCUUUGCUAGUUGAGGGUCUUGGAGUUGGUGGUGAAACAUCAGUGGAGGAGUACAUUAUUGGUCCAGAAAAUGAACUUGCGGAAGACCAGGAACCAAGUGUUCAAAAAGAUCAUAUUAGGUUAUAUGGGCCUGAACAUGGACACUCUUUGGUUGCACGGCCUGUCACUGGGCAAAGCGUAGUUGGUGUUGCAUCUCGCCAAGGAAGCACAUUUGCACCUAAUGUGCCCCUCAUGGACCCUGUUGUCACUCUAUUUGGCAGCGUUCAUGAAAAGCUUCCGGAUGUGGGAAGCAAGGGAAGCAUGCUCUUUCCGCAUCUCGGCAGCAUGUUUAGUGUUGCUGGAGAUCAAACAAAAAAUGAAGAGUGGGAUGAAGAAAGCCUUCCCAGAGAGGGCGAUGAUUAUGCAUCUGAGGCUGCAGCUGAAGAAUCUGAUGACAAUUUGCAGAGCCCACUGAUAUCUCGUCAGGCAACAAGCAUGGAAAAUGACAUGGUUCCGCCUCCAUCUCGUGGAAGUUUUUUUAGCAUGGUGUAGGGUAAUGAUGGUGAACCAGUUGGCAGUGCUGGCAUUGGUGGUGGAUGGCAGCUUGCAUGGAAAUGGACAGAGAGAGAAGGCGAUGAUGAAAAGAAGGAGGGAGGUUUUAAAAGAAUCUAUUUGCAUGAGGGUGGAACUCAUGGAACUCGAAGGGGAUCUUUAGUUUCUCUUCCUGGGGGUGAUAUGCCUAGUGGUGGUGAAUUUGUUCGUGCUGCUGCUUUGGUGAGUCAACCAGCUUUAUAUUCGAAAGAUCUGAUGGAUCAACAUCAUGUUGGACCAGCUAUGAUUCAUCCGUCUGAAACAUCUGGAAAAUGGCCUAGUUGGAGCGAUUUAUUUGAACCAGGUGUCAAGCAUGCAUUGAUUGUUGGUGUGGGGAUCCAACUACUUCAGCAGUUCUCAGGAAUUAAUGGAGUUAUGUACUACACUCCUCAAAUACUUGAGCAAGCAGGUGUAGGAGUUCUUUUAUCAAACCUUGGCAUCAGUUCUGCUUCUGCAUCUCUGCUGAUAAGUGCAAUCACAAAUUUCUUAAUACUCCCUUCAAUAGCUGUUGCCAUGAGGCUUAUGGAUAUCUCUGGCAGGAGGAGUCUGCUGCUAAGCACAAUUCCUAUCUUAAUUAUAGCCCUCAUUGUUCUAGUUAUUGUAAGUUUAGUGAGUAUGGGAACUGUUGCAAAGGCUGCUAUAUCAACAGUUUGUGGUGUUAUGUACUUCUGCUCAUUUGUUAUGGGGUUCGGGCCCAUUCCAAACAUACUCUGUUCAGAGAUAUUUCCAACUCGGGUCCGAGGUAUCUGCAUUGCCAUCUGUGCUCUAGUAUUCUGGAUUGGGGAUAUUAUUGUUACCUAUACACUACCUGUGAUGCUGUCCUCUAUUGGCCUUGCUGGCGUAUUUGGCAUAUAUGCUAUCAGUCUGUGUUAUAUCAUGGAUAUUUGUUUUCUUGAAAGUGCCUGAAACCAAAGGGAUGCCCCUUGAAGUGAUCUUGGAGUUCUUCGCUCUUGGUGCUAGGCAGGCUGCUGCUGCUAAGAACUGAUCUGAUCAUUUGACGACAUGUUGGCCUUGCCUAGACCCGGAUUUUGUUUGCUUUAAGGUUUCCCUUGUUUGAUAGAGUGGUGUUUGCUAUUCAGUUUUCUAAGUUGUUUAGAACAGUGCAAGAUCUUUUAAUGAGUUUUACGAUUCUGCCAAUUACAACUGCAGUUGUUUAGAACAGUGCCAUUUAUUCCUGUUUGGUUUGAAAUUUGGUCAUUUGAU